rnacentral:misc_RNA from 1 species
CCGAGUUUACAAACUCCCAAACCCUUUGUGAACCUUACCGUAUCGUUGCUUCGGCGGGACCGCCCCGGCGCCCUCGGGCCCGGAACCAGGCGCCCGCCGGAGGCCCCAGACCCUCAUGUCUUUAGUGGUUUUCUCCUCUGAGUGACACAUAAACAAAUAAAUAA